rnacentral:rRNA from 1 species
UACGUAGGGUGCGAGCGUUGUCCGGAAUUAUUGGGCGUAAAGAGCUCGUAGGCGGUGUGUCACGUCGGCCGUGAAAACCUGCAGCUUAACUGUGGGCGUGCGGUCGAUACGGGCAUCACUGGAGUUCGGCAGGGGAGACUGGAAUUCCUGGUGUAGCGGUGAAAUGCGCAGAUAUCAGGAGGAACACCGGUGGCGAAGGCGGUGGUCUGGGCCGGCACUGACGCUGAGGAGCGAAAGCGUGGGGAGCGAACAGG